CCUACGGGUGGCAGCAGUGAGGAAUAUUGGUCAAUGGACGAGAGUCUGAACCAGCCAAGUAGCGUGAAGGAUGACUGCCCUAUGGGUUGUAAACUUCUUUUAUAUGGGAAUAAAAUGUUCCGCGUGUGGUAUUUUGUAUGUACCAUAUGAAUAAGGAUCGGCUAACUCCGGGUCAGCAGCCGCUGUAAUACGGAGGAUCCGAGCGUUAUCCGGAUUUAUUGGGUUUAACAGGAGCGUAGGUGGAUUGUUAAGGAAGUUGUGAAAGUUUGCGGCUCAACCGUAAAAUUGCAGUUGAAACUGGCAGUCUUGAGUACAGUAGAGGUGGGCGGAAUUCGUGGUGUAGCGGUGAAAUGCUUAGAUAUCACGAAGAACUCCGAUUGCGAAGGCAGCUCACUGGACUGCAACUGACACUGAGGCUCGAAAGUGUGGGUAUCAAACAGGAUUAGAUACCCCAGUAGUC
rnacentral:rRNA from 1 species